rnacentral:rRNA from 1 species
GACGAACGCUGGCGGCGUGCCUAAUACAUGCAAGUAGAACGCACAGGAUGCACCGUAGUUUACUACACCGUAUUCUGUGAGUUGCGAACGGGUGAGUAACGCGUAGGUAACCUGCCUGGUAGCGGGGGAUAACUAUUGGAAACGAUAGCUAAUACCGUAUAAGAACAUUUACUGCAUGGUAGAUGUUUAAAAGGUGCAAGAGCAUCACUACCAGAUGGACCUGCGUUGUAUUAGCUAGUUGGUGAGGUAACGGCUCACCAAGGCAACGAUACAUAGCCGACCUGAGAGGGUGAUCGGCCACACUGGGACUGAGACACGGCCCAGACUCCUACGGGAGGCAGCAGUAGGGAAUCUUCGGCAAUGGGGGGAACCCUGACCGAGCAACGCCGCGCUGAGUGAAGAAGGUUUUCGGAUCGUAAAGCUCUGCUGUUAAGGAAGAACG